rnacentral:rRNA from 1 species
GACAGAGGUGCCGAGCGUUAGGCGGAAUCACUGGGCUUAAAGCGUGUGUAGGCGGAUCGUUAAGUACCUUGUGAAAUCCCGACGGCAUCAACCGUGGAACGGCUGGGUAUACUGGCGGUCUUGAGCCACCUAGGGGCAGAUGGAACAGACGGUGGAGCGGUGAAAUGCGUAGAUAUCGUCUGGAACGCCAAUGGUGAAAACAGUCUGCUGGGGGUGUGCUGACGCUGAGACACGAAAGCCAGGGGAGCAAACGGG